AUGCACAUCUAUGUGAAGGCGCUAGAUGGGGAGACGACCCACACCCUUUAUGGGGUUGGGAGCUUGGACACUAUUGACAGUCUCAAGAUGAAGAUUUACGAGAAGGAUGGCACUCGCCCGAGACAACAACGCAUCAUCUUUGCUGGCAAGCAUCUGGAGAACGGGCGCACCCUGGCUGACUACAACGUUCAGCGGGAGUCUACUCUUCAUAUGGUGAUGUGCCUCUGUGGUUGCUGA
rnacentral:rRNA from 1 species